AGAUCAUGAUGUGGGCAAUUUCUUAGUAAACUUUUGUACCUCUUCCAUGCCUCAUACAAUGACUCUCCAGCUUGUUGCUCAAAAUUAGCUAUGGAUUUCUUCAACUU